rnacentral:rRNA from 1 species
CUUUUACUAGAGAAUAGCCAAGAGAAAUUUUGAUUAAUGCUCUAUGUUCUUAUUAACUCGCAUGAGUUAAUAAGCAAAGCUCCGGCGGUAAAAGAUGGGCAUGCGUCCUAUUAGCUUGUAGGUGAGGUAAUGGCUCACCUAAGCUCCGAUAGGUAGGGGUCCUGAGAGGGAGAUCCCCCACACUGGUACUGAGACACGGACCAGACUUCUACGGAAGGCAGCAGUAAGGAAUAUUGGACAAUGGAGGCAACUCUGAUCCAGCCAUGCCGCGUGAAGGAAGACGGCCUUAUGGGUUGUAAACUUCUUUUAUACAGGAAGAAACCUUUCCACGUGUGGAAAGCUGACGGUACUGUAAGAAUAAGGAUCGG